GUACUCAACCUGACAAGGGAGAUUCCAGGAUCAUGAAGUGGUUUUCUCAGGGCGAGGUUCUUUUACUCUACUUGGGAUGUGUUGACCCCUGUGAUUACCCCAAAUUCUAGAAACUUUAUAAUUUGUGGUAGUAGGGGACUGCAUGCAUGCUACCCCCUC